rnacentral:sRNA from 1 species
GGUGAGUCUCCCUGGGCUCGUGCAGUCAUCUGCCGGGUAUCCGAGCCAUCCGUGGUCCCCGGGUCCCAGUACUUCAGCUAUAGGCACGCGAAGCCCGGUUGCUCUUCUCUGGCCAUUUCUGUCGGAGGAUGGUUGUCGAGGGGCUCGGGGCUGUUGGCAGGGAGACCGGGCUGGCGGGCUGCGCUGUAGACCCGGACACGCAGGGCUUCGGGCUCCAGCGCCUGGGCAGUUUAGGAGCUGUAGCGCUUGUUGACUUCGUGGAGUACGGUGGAUGGGGGUAGGGGGCGGGCGGGAUAGAUGGACACUGGGAGGUACAUCUCGUCUGCAGUUCCUCCUUGGGCUAGGUAGGCGGCUUGCAGGUGAUGGCAGUCCAAGAGGUGAAGAAGGUGCGGCAGCGCCUGGGCGAGUUGCGAACGACACCGUAACUAUCCGCACUAGAAAGUUCAUGACCAACCGACUACUUCAGAGGAAACAAAUGGUCAUUGAUGUCCUUCACCCCGGGAAGGCAACAGUGCCUAAGACAGAAAUUCGGGAAAAACUAGCCAAAAUGUACAAGACCACACCGGAUGUCAUCUUUGUAUUUGGAUUCAGAACUCAUUUUGGUGGUGGCAAGACAACUGGC